CGUCCACUGUCUCUCUUCCUUCUCUUCUUUCUCUUUAAUCUAAUUUCUCCCCCAAAUUGAUUUCAAAUCCCUAACUCCUCCAUCUCUCUCCCUCCUCUCGUCUACAUUGCAGGCAGCCGCCCCUGCCGCGCCUGACGGAGGCGUGCCACCAUCUCCGGCGAAUCGAGACCUACGUUCAUCUAUCUCUCGCCGUCUUCUCUUCGGAACCGAGAGGCAGGGCUAAAUCUUGCAGAGGCGGCGGCGCUUCUCUUCCUCUCGCGGCGGAGUCACCGGUGGGAAGAAGGCGUCGCCUUUUCCACUCCAUGGCGUCGCUCCUCGAUGGAACCGCCGCCACCAUUAACCGCACGCUUCACCUCCAUCACUACAUGGCGUCUCAGCGCCGUCGAGCUGCCGUCGCCGUCGUUCACUCCCGGCGUUUGCGCACCAUUACCGAAGUCCAACAAGGCUCGUCGUCCUCUGGCGAGGUCUCUGCCUCAGUUGCUGUUCGACGAAGCUCGAGGCGCCGCCCUCUCACCUUCGCUGUUCAGACUAAAGUUAAGCUAUCUCUAACCCAACUCAAUCUCCUUCGUCAUUUGCAAAUUUUUAAUUGUUAUUCCUUAGAUUAUUUGUGAUGUUGAGCAUGUGGCAGUAGCAUUUUGUUCCUCAUUUUCCAUCAUGUAAUAUAACUCCAAAUUUCUUCAUGCUUGGUGUCUUUUUCUUUUCUAUUGAUUUACUUGAGAUUUAGCAUGCUAAAUGAGGUUUCUAUGUGGCGGUGUCUCUAUGUGAUGUUGUGAUUCAUGCUUGAGUUUGAGGAAAAGAAAGGGAUAUGGAGGUUACCUUUUUUUUCACCAUUUUGUAUCUUGCUCCUAGACUUGUCUCUCUCGCACUCUCUACGCAUUAUCUUGCUAAUUGGUAUAUGGUGGUGAAAGAGGGUGAGACCAAGGGGUUAUCUCCAUAUAUAGAGGGUGUGUAACUGAAAGCUGCUGUUUAGUGCAGGAAAAAGGGUCCCCACUUUGAUUGUAUGUCGGCUGAUCCUCCUGCAGCAAGGCAGGGCAUGUACUCAUAAAAAUAAAUGGACUGAGCUCUGUAAGGUGGUUAACUGAAUCUCUGCAGUUGAAGCUCUGUAGAGCAGCUGUAGUUGUGCCCCUUUUCUUGGCUCAUAGCGGCUGGACAUGGGCUGGAGAUGUGCAGGAGUUGCACUACUGCAGGUUGUCCCAAUUGAGGUCAUGGCUAACUACCGAGAGCGGGUUCCCUGGAUGUCUCGGCUCAUCGGGCUGUCGGCACAAUCGGACCGAAAUCCAAGCUAAGAAGGAAGGGUCGAAGCUAAUAGUUUCAUUUGUAAAGAGAUAGGGUUCUUACUCGUAAUUUUCUCCUUUUCUUUAACAUGUAAACAAGUCUUUGUAAUAUUUCAUGUGUAUUUCUUUUCCUUUGUUUUUCUUUGUCAAUAUCUGUAAUUUAAGACUUAUCUCGAUACUAAAUGUUGAGUUUUUUUUGUUUA